GCUUAACACAUGCAAGUCGAGGGGCAGCAUGGUCUUAGCUUGCUAAGGCCGAUGGCGACCGGCGCACGGGUGAGUAACACGUAUCCAACCUGCCGUCUACUCUUGGACAGCCUUCUGAAAGGAAGAUUAAUACAAGAUGGCAUCAUGAGUCCGCAUGUUCACAUGAUUAAAGGUAUUCCGGUAGACGAUGGGGAUGCGUUCCAUUAGAUAGUAGGCGGGGUAACGGCCCACCUAGUCUUCGAUGGAUAGGGGUUCUGAGAGGAAGGUCCCCCACAUUGGAACUGAGACACGGUCCAAACUCCUACGGGAGGCAGCAGUGAGGAAUAUUGGUCAAUGGGCGAGAGCCUGAACCAGCCAAGUAGCGUGAAGGAUGACUGCCCUAUGGGUUGUAAACUUCUUUUAUAAAGGAAUAAAGUCGGGUAUGGAUACCCGUUUGCAUGUACUUUAUGAAUAAGGAUCGGCUAACUCCGUGCCAGCAGCCGCGGUAAUACGGAGGAUCCGAGCGUUAUCCGGAUUUAUUGGGUUUAAAGGGAGCGUAGAUGGAUGUUUAAGUCAGUUGUGAAAGUUUGCGGCUCAACCGUAAAAUUGCAGUUGAUACUGGAUAUCUUGAGUGCAGUUGAGGCAGGCGGAAUUCGUGGUGUAGCGGUGAAAUGCUUAGAUAUCACGAAGAACUCCGAUUGCGAAGGCAGCCUGCUAAGCUGCAACUGACAUUGAGGCUCGAAAGUGUGGGUAUCAAACAGGAUUAGAUACCCUGGUAGUCCACACGGUAAACGAUGAAUACUCGCUGUUUGCGAUAUACUGCAAGCGGCCAAGCGAAAGCGUUAAGUAUUCCACCUGGGGAGUACGCCGGCAACGGUGAAACUCAAAGGAAUUGACGGGGGCCCGCACAAGCGGAGGAACAUGUGGUUUAAUUCGAUGAUACGCGAGGAACCUUACCCGGGCUUAAAUUGCAGAUGAAUUACGGUGAAAGCCGUAAGCCGCAAGGCAUCUGUGAAGGUGCUGCAUGGUUGUCGUCAGCUCGUGCCGUGAGGUGUCGGCUUAAGUGCCAUAACGAGCGCAACCCUUGUUGUCAGUUACUAACAGGUUCCGCUGAGGACUCUGACAAGACUGCCAUCGUAAGAUGUGAGGAAGGUGGGGAUGACGUCAAAUCAGCACGGCCCUUACGUCCGGGGCUACACACGUGUUACAAUGGGGGGUACAGAGGGCCGCUACCACGCGAGUGGAUGCCAAUCCCCAAAACCUCUCUCAGUUCGGACUGGAGUCUGCAACCCGACUCCACGAAGCUGGAUUCGCUAGUAAUCGCGCAUCAGCCACGGCGCGGUGAAUACGUUCCCGGGCCUUGUACACACCGCCCGUCAAGCCAUGGGAGCCGGGGGUACCUGAAGUGCGUAACCGCGAGGAGCGCCCUAGGGUAAAACUGGUGACUGGGGCU
rnacentral:rRNA from 1 species